rnacentral:lncRNA from 1 species
GGGGGUCUAUUUGGAAACAGCCUCUCUACCCCAGGGUAGGGGUAAGUCUGCGUACAUACUACCCUCCCCAGACCCCACUGGAUGGGAUUAUACUGGGUUGUACUUUUUUUUAUACUUUUUUUAGUAUGCAGCGGCGGCCCCAGGAUUUUCACUCAAGGGGAUUCAAAAACUUUAAAAAGUAAACAAGUGAAGAAGCCAAGGAGAGUCAUUUUAUAUACGUAAGGAUUUUGACCUUAUAUACGUCCUCCUCCAGCUCCGCCCAUGGGAGUAUGAGUACGAGGGAACAUUUUGUUUCUUAGCCAGAGGUGGUUUGAAUUUAAAAUUGAUGGGUUCAACUUUUAAAGUUUUUAGCGCUUAACAUAUUGUUCUUCUAAAAGUAAGCGUUCAGUUUUAAUAUUUGUUAAAGCUUAAUGGUUUUCAUUUUUAUAUUUAAACUGUGUCAAAAACACUGCGUAGCACAACGGCUGCACCUGCUAAUGAUCUUCAAUAUUUAGUAGAGAAUGUACUGUAAGGUAUCUUGGAGCACGUUUUGGCAUUAUUUUUAAUUGAACUUUUGUCAUCUGCUUAGUGUGUGACAUAUAGCUCUAUUAAGGAUUAGAAGUUGGCAACUUGAACACGAGACGGAUAAAGAAGUAUGUAUAUAUGUAGCACAUUGCAUGUUGGCUCUUCUUUUCCUCCAUGUUUAAGUUUAGUGAUUGAUUCUUAUACAGCUCUCCCUUUAUAUAUGUGAAUUUGUAUUGUGCACCUAGAGAACUAGUAUUUUUCAGCAUUUCGGCUCAUUCUUUUUGUUGACUGGAAGUAAACUUGGAAUUUUGGAAAAUCCAUCUAUUGGGCAGUUAAAAAUGAAGGGCACCUUCUUCAAAUAGCUGGAGAAGCGUGACAUGUGGUAUAUUAUAGAUCAUUCAGGAGAUAUAUUAAUAAGAAACUGAUAACUGAAUAUGUAAUGGAACUUAUCUUGAGUGAAAUGGAUCUCUUGUUUCCUUGUCACCAUUACUCUUCUAUAUCUUGGUAUGAGAUAAGUGCUAGUGCAUGUGAAAUAUUAAAGAGUUAGAUUGUAUUAUAUCAUCAAGUGCAGUGAAUGGUAAAGAGUGAAAAAAAUGCAUGAAUGAACUUCCACUGCAUACAUUGACCCUUCUUAUUCCUGUCCUUUGUGCAUGAAUUGUAAGAUAUAUGGAUUUAUAUCUAGAUAUAUGGACUUAUAUCUACACAC